rnacentral:rRNA from 1 species
GAUGAACGCUGGCGGCGUGCCUAAUACAUGCAAGUCGAGCGAACAGACGAGGAGCUUGCUCCUCUGACGUUAGCGGCGGACGGGUGAGUAACACGUGGAUAACCUACCUAUAAGACUGGGAUAACUUCGGGAAAACGGAGCUAAUAACGGAUAAUAUAUUGAACCGCAUGGUUCAAUAGUGAAAGACGGUUUUGCUGUCACUUAUAGAUGGAUCCGCGCCGCAUUAGCUAGUUGGUAAGGUAACGGCUUACCAAGGCAACGAUGCGUAGCCGACCUGAGAGGGUGAUCGGCCACACUGGAACUGAGACACGGUCCAGACUCCUACGGGAGGCAGCAGUAGGGAAUCUUCCGCAAUGGGCGAAAGCCUGACGGAGCAACGCCGCGUGAGUGAUGAAGGUCUUCGGAUCGUAAAACUCUGUUAUUAGGGAAGAACAAAUGUGUAAGUAACUAUGCACGUCUUGACGGUACCUAAUCAGAAAGCCACGGCUAACUACGUG